AUGGAGCACGACGACGGCGACGCUCCGCCUGCUGUCCCCCUCGCCGCCGCUCCACCUGCAGUCCCUCCUGCUCCUGCGCCACCUGCUCCUGCAGUCCCUGCUGCUCCCGCGUCACCUGCACCAGCCCUCGCCGUGGCAACCGCCCCAGUCCCGCCUGCUGCUCUGCCUGCGUCGGCCAUGGUGGCCGUGGCGCCCCCACCUCCCUCCAUCCCCUCGUCGGUGCUGCAAACCGUCGACAUCCGCCGCCAUGUUCCAGUCACGCUAGACCUCCUCGCCGGCAACUACACCGAAUGGCGCCGCCACUUCGACACCGUCAUCGGGAUGUUUGGGCUCCGCGACCAUGUCGAUCCCGAGGCACUCCCCCGUCUCGACCACCCCGAGUGGCUCAUGGCCGACCAUGUCGUCGUGCACUGGCUCUACACCACCAUCGCGCCGGAGCUCCUCGAUGCCGUCAUGCACCCCGAGGACACGGCGAUCGCCGUGUGGACCGCCAUCGACGGCGUGUUCCGCGACAACCACCUCGCCCGCGCCGUCUACGUCGACGCCGAGUACCACGCCGCUGUCCAGGGAGACAUGUCGGUCAUGCAGUACUGCACCAAACUCAAGAACUUCACCGACCAACUCCGGGACCUGGGACAGCCGGUCACUGACACGCGCCAGGUUUUCCACCUCCUGCGCGGCCUCAACCGUCAGUACCACUCCGUCAUUCCCCAUGUGACGUCGCAGGUGCCCCUCCCCUCCUUCCUUCAGGUGCGCUCCUUCCUCCUUCUGGAGGAACACCGCGCCGAACAGUCUGCUCGGCUGCAGUCCACUCAUGCCCUGGUCGCUGGCCGCGGCUCUCCAUCGACACCGCCCACUCCUGCGCCCAGCAACACCAACCAACAAGGGCGCGGGCGCGGGCGCCGCCGCGGCUGUGGCAAUGGAGGUCAGGGCGCCCACAUCGCUCCCUCGCCGUCGCCCUUACCUCGCCCUCCGGCCGUUCCCGCCCCUGCACCAGGCGCCAAUUCCUGGACAGGCCUCGUCCAGGCGUGGCCCAUGGCCUGGCGCGCGCCUGGUGCCGGCGUUCUCGGCCCGCGGCCUGCUACUCCGCCCCAGCAGGCUAUGUACGCCGCGCCCGCGCCAACGGCGCUCCCACUGCCCGUCUACGGCUCGCCUGGUGCCUACCCACCUGGCUAUGCGCCCCCGCCCCACUACAACACCCCUGGGGCCGGGCCGUCGUCGUCUCCGUCACCAGCGUGGGACAUGGCGUCCCUUCAGGCUGCUCUCCACAGCGCCACCGCCGGGCCAUCCUCUUCUGGCACCUCCCAGGAGUGGUACCUCGACUCCGGGGCAGCCGCGCACACGUCUCCUGUCCGCCGUUAUCAUGGGUGCCCGCUGGACAGAGACCUCUUAUUGGAAUUGGGCCUGCCCCAUGAUCCGGUGUCGCCCUCCGCAGCCUCAGCACGCAGGCCGUUCACCACCACCACCAGUGCCCAUUCAAUGCCGCCCCAACAACCCCACACUGACGGAACACCGCCAAUCGAACUGAACACUGAGCAUGUUUCCACCCUCCCCACGCCCGCCACCGCUGCGACCACCCCUCCCCCUCACGAUUUCUCGUUGAUAUCGCUGUAUUCGUGCUUGUUAUGUGAGUUACCUGAUGGAAGUUCUGCAACUGUCAGUCCAGAUGGAAGAAGGAGAUCUGUCCAAAGUUCCAAGUGGGAGAGCAAAAUUCAUUGGCUUCUUAAAAUUUCUGAUAUAAACAAGCUGGUGGCCGCCCAUCUCUGCAUAGCCAAAUCCUGGCGCGCCCAGCCGCUGCUCGUGAACCCCGCCUCCAUCAGCUCCACUUCACCGGAGUCGUCAGUCCACAGGAGUAGGGGUAGCAGAUCCCCAAUAGCGGCCAAAUCCCGGUGUGCCCAGUCUACAUUACAGGCAAGCAUGGCCACCACCAAUGCACUGUGUGGUCAAGGGCGAUGGAAUCCAACUCAGACCAACACCUUGGCCGCCCUUCCGUUGCUUGGCAACGGGUGGUUCAACGUGUCGAGCGGCAGCAGCCUUUCCUCCCCAAUGGUUGCCCACGCAAGGAGGAUACAUGGACGCUACAGUGGUGGAGUCAGUAGCAUGAAAAGACUUAACCACGGGCUGGAUUCGGUGCUUGCGGCGCCCACACCACCAUCUUCGGCUCUCUGCCUACUGCAUACGGUGUCGGUCCAGGCAUACUGUUGUUUGGUACAUAUCUUCAGUACAAGUUUGGAAGGCCAGGAAGUUCUACCGCCGGCAUACACCAAGUUCAGAGACGUUGCACGGAAAAUUGAACUCCAGGAUAUGAAGUUUGAUGGAUGUGGAGGAAGAUGGGCCAAAAAAAGGAGCAUGAUCGGCUGCUCCUAUAGCGUGUAG
rnacentral:rRNA from 1 species